GUCUCGUUCCUGAGCUCCAAGUGUCCUCCCCAGUGCUGCUGUGUGAUGAGUGCCACCUGAAGGUGCCCUAUGAGAGGAAGAUCCUCAUUAGGAAUCCCAGCCACCUUCCUGGCUGCUACGGGCUUAUUCCCCAGAAACGCAAGGAGGACUCUGCUGUGCUCUACUCCAGCCCCAAGCCCUGUGGGAUUGUGCAGCCCCAGAGCACAGCAGAGAUCCCAGUUGUGGUGGCAGUGCAGGCCCUGGGCACUCAUCGCACCGACGUUCUCAUCGGCGUGUUCGGGGAUGAGAGGAACCCCCUGAGAGCACAAUUACGGAGCUCAGGACGGCUGGCAGAAAUCUCCCCAAGCCCAAGGCUGGCAGAGCUUGGCAGGAU